UGGCACUGCAGCUGCUGCUUACCUGUGGGAAGACUCCACCACCUGGUUACACGUGCACCGUCUAGAACCGAGUCAAGUCUCUCUUCUCGGAAUUGACGAGAGGGUGGGAGAGGACGUCGUCCAAGUCGCUGAUGCUGCCUUACUGUUUGUUCAGUGUACAAUAGGUGUAUUGUGGUCAUUCGAGUUUUGUUGUCAGUUGGUUUCAGUGAGCUCUUCCAGUGAAGGAAUGCAUUCGUUUCCUUGUAGUUUCAGUAUGUGCUGCUGAAGCAGAUAAUAAAUAGGUGUCCAGAUUUCCAUUGCAUGCA